UACAAGUACCCGGAGGGAAAGUUGCAAAGAACUUUGAAGAGAGAGUUCAAGAGAACGUGAAAUCCCUGAAGUUGAAGCAGAACGAGUCGAAAUUGUUAAGCAGUGAAGUGGUUUGGUUAUACCGUCCAUGUAGCUGUGGUACUGCGCUGGUUGCGCUGUCCGAGCUCUCCUGACUAGUCAGUGUUGCCCACCCUUGUGGUGGUGUCUUGCUUUCUGGAAUGGUUUGCCGUGUCAGUGUUUAGCUUGCCCUUUGGGUGAGAACCGGUGUUAAUGUCGAUCACCGUUCUGUCCCGUCUUGAAACACGGACCGAGGAGUGUAACUUGUGCGCGAGUCAGAGGGUGUUAAACCUUACGGCGAAAUGAAAGUAAAGGUCGAUUAAUCGGCUGAGAUGGGAUCCUUGCUUUACGGCUUGGCGCACCAUCGCCCUGUCUCGAAAGCUUGCUUUUGGGCAGAGGUAGAGCGUACAGGUUGCGACCCGAAAGAUGGUGAACUAUGCUUGAGCAGAACGAAGCCAGAGGAAACUCUGGUGGAAGUUCGUAUCGGUUCUGACGUGCAAAUCGAUCGAUAGACUUGAGUAUAGGGGCGAAAGACUAAUCGAACCAUCUAGUAGCUGUUCCCUUCCGA
rnacentral:rRNA from 1 species